GCCCAGUGGCUAAGAUGUCGGCUUGGUAAUUGGAAAGACGCUCCUAUCUUAGUUAGCUAGGGAGGACUUUUGGUGGCUUAUUUUGUUAUCAUUUCUGUUUGUCCGGGUUAUUUCAGGGUUGUAAUCCGGAUAUUAUCUUGUGGCUCAAACUCCUAUUUUUCUCAUUUUGUCUAAGUUCGCUUAGUUGUAGUAACUCGUCUAGUGUUAUUUAGGAUAGUUCCAAGGAUGUAAC
rnacentral:lncRNA from 1 species